rnacentral:rRNA from 1 species
GAGGAUCAUCGGGUUAGCAAUAAUUCGGUGGUUCUAGCGGCGUACGGGUGAGUAACACGUGGGUAACCUGCCCUUGAGACUGGGAUACCCUCUCGAAAGGGAGGCUAAUACUGGAUACGUUCCCCGGGGCGCAAGACCUGGGGAGGAAAGGUGGCGAAAGCUGCCGCUCUUGGAGGGGCUCGCGGCCUAUCAGCUAGUUGGUGAGGUAACGGCUCACCAAGGCUAUGACGGGUAGCUGGUCUGAGAGGACGACCAGCCACACGGGAACUGAGACACGGUCCCGACUCCUACGGGAGGCAGCAGUGGGGAAUUUUCCGCAAUGGGCGAAAGCCUGACGGAGUGACGCCGCGUGGGGGACGAAGGCCUUCGGGUCGUAAACCCCUGUCAGAGGGAAAGAAGGGUGCUGGCGUGAACAGCGCCGGCAUCUGACGGUACCUUCAGAGGAAGCCCCGGCCAACUCUGUGCCAGCAGCCGCGGUAAGACAGAGGGGGCAAGCGUUGCUCGGAAUCACUGGGCGUAAAGGGCGCGUAGGCGGGAUGGCAAGUCGGUCGUGAAAUCCUUCGGCUCAACCGAAGAACGUCGGCCGAUACUGCCGUUCUUGAGGGAUGCAGAGGAGAUUGGAAUUCCCGGUGUAGCGGUGAAAUGUGUAGAGAUCGGGAGGAACACCGGUGGCGAAGGCGGGUCUCUGGGCAUCUCCUGACGCUGAGGCGCGAAAGCGUGGGGAGCAAACGGGAUUAGAUACCCCGGUAGUCCACGCUGUAAACGAUGACGACUAGGUG